GUCGCCUUAUAUAAUAAGAACCCGCCAUUUUCCAAUUACAUUUGAGGGAAGACGUGCGAAUGUAAGCUGAGAAGUAGUACACAGUCAAAAUCAAACCAAAACGACAUUACGACAGUCUUUUAUCUGCUGAUUAUUCCAAGCUAAACAUGGCAGA